rnacentral:rRNA from 1 species
GACGAACGCUGGCGGCGUGCUUAACACAUGCAAGUCGAACGGAAAGGCCCUGCUUUUGUGGGGUGCUCGAGUGGCGAACGGGUGAGUAACACGUGAGUAACCUGCCCUUGACUUUGGGAUAACUUCAGGAAACUGGGGCUAAUACCGGAUAGGGGCUCCUGCUGCAUGGUGGGGGUUGGAAAGUUUCGGCGGUUGGGGCUGGACUCGCGGCUUAUCAGCUUGUUGGUGGGGUAGUGGCUUACCAAGGCUUUGACGGGUAGCCGGCCUGAGAGGGUGACCGGCCACAUUGGGACUGAGAUACGGCCCAGACUCCUACGGGAGGCAGCAGUGGGGAAUAUUGCACAAUGGGCGGAAGCCUGAUGCAGCAACGCCGCGUGCGGGAUGACGGCCUUCGGGUUGUAAACCGCUUUCGCCUGUGACGAAGCGUGAGUGACGGUAAUGGGUAAAGAAGCACCGGCUAACUACGUG